GAUGUGGUCAGGUUGGGGAGCAUGGCGGGAGAUGCUGUGGGUCACGUUAGGGAACAUGGCAGAAAGAUGAUGUUGGUCAGGUUUGGGUGUAUGGUGGGAGAUGAUGUGAUCAGGUUGGGGAGCAUGGUGGGAGAUUUUGUGGGUCAGGUUUGGGUGCGUGGCGGGAGAUGUUGUGGUCAGGGCUAUAUUUACCACACUCCCCCACUUUCGGGGGGGAGGCAAAAACACCACCCCAAGAACCCAGGCAAAUGCCUUGUUUGCCUUGUGUCCUGGUGGGCCCAAGAGCUGGCUGGCUGGCUACCCUAGCCCCCCUCCCUUGGUGUUAAACUACUAAUAUUCUAUCCGGUGUCCUCUGCUGUUCUUCCUCCCUUGUGCUCCCUUCUGUGAUGCCGGAAGCCAGAAUAUGAUGUCACACUGGUUCCGGCAUCACUAAGCGAUGCAGAAGGAGCUGAGCAAUAAGAGCUCAGUUCCCUCGCCGCCCACAUUGAGCGCCAGCAGCCCCAGCAGAGCUAGCCCAGCCAGCAGUUCCAUUAGAGCCAGCAGCCCCAGCAGAGCCAGCCUAGUCAGCAGGAGCCAACAAGUAGCCUGCCGAGCCAGCCCAGCAAAUGUCAGGGACAUCAUCCAAAGUUAGGGAGGCUGGGUGGAUUUAAAUUUAAAAAAAAUAUUAAUAAUUUGUGAUUGCAAUGAGUGUAUGAGAAAAUGUGUGUGUGUCUGUGUCUGUCAGUGAGUGUGUUUGUGUCUGUCAGUAAGUGUGAGUGUAUGUCUGUGAGUGAGUGCAUGUAGUGGUCAGUGUGUGUCUAAGUGCGUGAGUGAAUGUGUGUGUCUGUCAGUGUAUGUGUAUCUGAGAGUAUGCGUCUGUCAGUGAGUGGGUGUGUCAGUGUGUGUCUCUGAAAGUGUGUGUUGGUGAAACAGUGUGUGUGCCAAUGACUGUGUGUGUCAGUGAGUGUAUAUCAGUGCAUGUAUCAAUGAGGGGGGGUGUCUGUCAGUCAAAAAAGUGGCCCUGACAUAAAUUGGUGAGGCAAAUUUAGUCGUGCUUAGGGCAGCACAAUCCCAAAAUACACCACUGGUUGUGGUUCAGGUUGGGGAGCAUGGCGGGAGAUGUGGGUCAGGUUAGGGAGAAUGGCGGGAGAUGAUGUGGGUCAGAUUGUGGAGCAUGGCGGGAGAUGAUGUGGGUCAGGUUAGGGAGAAUAGUGGGAGAUGAUGAUGUGGUCAGGUUGGGGAGCAUGGUGGGAGAUGCUGUGGGUCAUAAUGGGGAGUAUGAUGGGAGAGGAUGUGGUCAGGUUCGGGAGAAUACUGGGAGAUGAUGUG